GGCAUAGAGAGCUCAGGCCUGCAGCAGAGGGAGUGCAGAUGUGGGGGAAGCUGACCCUGGAGUUAACAGGCUCAGACCUUAAAGGGGGUAGUCUCACAGCAGGUUCACACCCAGCACUUCAGAGUUUCAGCAAGUAAGGCAACUGCAAGACCCUCAUUCUGCCGGGAAGCUUCUGAUUAGGGCCCUAAACCACCAUCCUUUUCACAUCUGCAAGGACACUAGAGGCAACACCCAGGGUCACUCUGAGAGGGCCUGAACCUGCUUUAUUAACAGGAUCGAGGGUCAGGACCGAAGUAAGUCGUGAUGCAGGAAAUGAGUGCGUUUCACAGCUUGCUGAGCCCCUACUCGACCCAGGAAGCCCAGCUGGCCCCUCCUCUCAACAGGAGUGAGAAUCAGACUCAUGGAGGCAACCACUCAAGGCCACUCUGAGAAGGGUUGAACGUGCUUUAAAUUAAAAGGACUGAGGAUCAUGUGUGUUGGUGUGUCCUGGACUCUGCUCUAAGGCCCUGUGGCUGCCUGGUGCCCUGGGAAUGGUCCGGUCAUGGGCCUCAGCCCAGGAUGAGCAGCCAACAAUGCAAUCCCACGAAGAGUGUGCGGAAGGGAGAGGUUACUUCUCAAGAUGGAGCUGCCAAAUAGGGACACUUUGGAGAGUCUGGCCUGAGAACUUUUAGUUUCAAGAAUGUAUUGCUUUGGAAAAGACAGAAUAAAAGUCCAAGCACUGCCACUUA
rnacentral:lncRNA from 1 species